rnacentral:rRNA from 1 species
GACGAACGCUGGCGGCGUGCCUAAUACAUGCAAGUAGGACGCAGUUGCGAACGGGUGAGUAACGCGUAGGUAACUACCUAUUAGUGGGGGAUAACUAUUGGAAACGAUAGCUAAUACCGCAUACUAAUAGAUGGACCUGCGUUGUAUUAGGUAGUCGGUCGGGUAAAGGCCUACCUAGGCAACGAUACAUAGCCGACCGGGGAGGGUGAUCGGCCAAACGUGGACUGAGGAACGGCCCAGACUCCUUCGGGAGGCAGCAGGAGGGAAACUUCGGCAAUGGGGGGAACCCUGACCGAGCAACGCCGCGUGAGUGGAGAAGGUUUUCGGAUCGUAAAGCUCUGUUGUUAAGGAAGCGGUACUUAACCAGAAAGGGACGGCUAACUACGUGCCAGCAGCCGCGGUAAUUC